rnacentral:rRNA from 1 species
AACUAUAACGGUCCUAAGGUAGCGAAAUUCCUUGUCGGGUAAGUUCCGACCCGCAUGAAAGGCGUAAUGAUUUGGGCACUGUCUCAACGAGGGGCCCGGUGAAAUUGAAAUACCUGUGAAGAUGCAGGUUACCCGCGACUGGACAGAAAGACCCCAUGGAGCUUCACUGCAGCUUGAGAUUGAAUCCCGGUGACAGAUGCACAGGAUAGGUGGGAGGCGCCGAAGCAUUGCCCUAGGGCGGUGCGGAGCCGAUGUUGGGAUACCACCCUUCUGUUGCUGAGAUUCUAACGCGAGGAGUAACGACCCUGCGGACCCUCUCAGGCAGGCGGUUUGACUGGGGCGGUCGCCUCCGAAAGAGUAACGGAGGCGCCCAAAGGUUCCCUCAGGCCGGACAGAAACCGGCCGAAGAGUGCAAAGGCAGAAGGGAGCUUGACUGCGAGACCAACAAGUCGAGCAGGGACGAAAGUCGGGCUUAGUGAUCCGGUGGUACUGAGUGGAAAGGCCAUCGCUCAACGGAUAAAAGCUACCCUGGGGAUAACAGGCUAAUCUCUCCCAAGAGUUCAUAUCGACGGGGAGGUUUGGCACCUCGAUGUCGGCUCAUCACAUCCUGGGGCUGGAGUAGGUCCCAAGGGUUGGGCUGUUCGCCCAUUAAAGUGGUACGCGAGCUGGGUUCAAAACGUCGUGAGACAGUUUGGUUCAUAUCCAUCGCGGGCGCAAGAAGUUUGAGAGGAGCUGCUCCUAGUACGAGAGGACCGGAGUGGACGGAUCAACGGUGUCCCAGUUGUCACGCCAGUGGCACGGCUGGAAAGCCGCAUCCGGGAAGGAUAAACGCUGAAAGCAUCUAAGCGCGAAGCCAACCUCAAGAUGAGACUUCUCAUCAGCAAUGAGUAAGACCCCUUACAGACGAUGAGGUAGAUAGGUUAUGAGUGGAAGAGCCGCAAGGCUUGGAGCGACAUAAAACUAAUAGGUCGAGGUCUUAACUUA